UCCGUAGGUGAACCUGCGGAGGGAUCAUUACCGAGUUAUACAACUCCCAAACCCACUGUGAACCUUACCAAAUCGUUGCUUCGGCGGGACAGCCCCGGGCCCUCGCGGCACGGAACCAGGCGCCCGCCGGAGGCCAAAAAACUCUCCUGUUUUCUCUUAGCGGAAUUUAUCUGAGUGGCCCUUCAUGGGCAAGCAAAUGAAUCAAAACUUUCAACAACGGAUCUCUUGGUUCUGGCAUCGAUGAAGAACGCAGCGAAAUGCGAUAAGUAAUGUGAAUUGCAGAAUUCAGUGAAUCAUCGAAUCUUUGAACGCACAUUGCGCCCGCCAGUAUUCUGGCGGGCAUGCCUGUUCGAGCGUCAUUUCAACCCUCAAGCCCCCCCGGGGGCAUGGUGUUGGGGGACGGCCCCGCCCCGCGCGGUCUGGCCGCCCCCGAAAUGCAGUGGCGACCCCGCCGCAGCCUCCCCUGCGUAGUAGCUAUACAACUGGAAACCUCGCACCGGAGAGCGGCGCUGCUCAGCCGUGAAACCCCAACUUCUGAAAGGUUGACCUCGGAUCAGGUAGGAAUACCCGCUGAACUUAAGCAUAUCAAUAAGCGGAGGA
rnacentral:rRNA from 1 species